rnacentral:rRNA from 1 species
CCCCGCACCCUAUAAUCGUCAGGGUGACCACUUUUGUCCUGUAUUCUUCGCCAUGUCUGUUGUUUUCAGGGCACCCACACACCUAGAGUUUUGAUUCAUGGCUCAGGAUGAACGCUGGCGGCGUGCCCUAAUACAUGCAAGUCGAACGAGUUCUCGUUGAUGAUCGGUGCUUGCACCGAGAUUCAACAUGGAACGAGUGGCGGACGGGUGAGUAACACGUGGGUAACCUGCCCUUAAGUGGGGGAUAACAUUUGGAAACAGAUGCUAAUACCGCAUAGAUCCAAGAACCGCAUGGUUCUUGGCUGAAAGAUGGCGUAAGCUAUCGCUUUUGGAUGGACCCGCGGCGUAUUAGCUAGUUGGUGAGGUAAUGGCUCACCAAGGCGAUGAUACGUAGCCGAACUGAGAGGUUGAUCGGCCACAUUGGGACUGAGACACGGCCCAAACUCCUACGGGAGGCAGCAGUAGGGAAUCUUCCACAAUGGACGCAAGUCUGAUGGAGCAACGCCGCGUGAGUGAAGAAGGCUUUCGGGUCGUAAAACUCUGUUGUUGGAGAAGAAUGGUCGGCAGAGUAACUGUUGUCGGCGUGACGGUAUCCAACCAGAAAGCCACGGCUAACUACGUGCCAGCAGCCGCGGUAAUACGUAGGUGGCAAGCGUUAUCCGGAUUUAUUGGGCGUAAGCGAGCGCAGGCGGUUUUUUAAGUCUGAUGUGAAAGCCCUCGGCUUAACCGAGGAAGCGCAUCGGAAACUGGGAAACUUGAGUGCAGAAGAGGACAGUGGAACUCCAUGUGUAGCGGUGAAAUGCGUAGAUAUAUGGAAGAACACCAGUGGCGAAGGCGGCUGUCUGGUCUGUAACUGACGCUGAGGCUCGAAAGCAUGGGUAGCGAACAGGAUUAGAUACCCUGGUAGUCCAUGCCGUAAACGAUGAAUGCUAGGUGUUGGAGGGUUUCCGCCCUUCAGUGCCGCAGCUAACGCAUUAAGCAUUCCGCCUGGGGAGUACGACCGCAAGGUUGAAACUCAAAGGAAUUGACGGGGGCCCGCACAAGCGGUGGAGCAUGUGGUUUAAUUCGAAGCAACGCGAAGAACCUUACCAGGUCUUGACAUCUUUUGAUCACCUGAGAGAUCAGGUUUCCCCUUCGGGGGCAAAAUGACAGGUGGUGCAUGGUUGUCGUCAGCUCGUGUCGUGAGAUGUUGGGUUAAGUCCCGCAACGAGCGCAACCCUUAUGACUAGUUGCCAGCAUUUAGUUGGGCACUCUAGUAAGACUGCCGGUGACAAACCGGAGGAAGGUGGGGAUGACGUCAAAUCAUCAUGCCCCUUAUGACCUGGGCUACACACGUGCUACAAUGGAUGGUACAACGAGUUGCGAGACCGCGAGGUCAAGCUAAUCUCUUAAAGCCAUUCUCAGUUCGGACUGUAGGCUGCAACUCGCCUACACGAAGUCGGAAUCGCUAGUAAUCGCGGAUCAGCACGCCGCGGUGAAUACGUUCCCGGGCCUUGUACACACCGCCCGUCACACCAUGAGAGUUUGUAACACCCGAAGCCGGUGCGUAACCCUUUUAGGGAGCGAGCCGUCUAAGGUGGCACAAAUGAUAGGUGAGUCG